CUUCACUAGGUCUGAACAGU
rnacentral:siRNA from 1 species